GGGCACCCCUGGUCUAGGGGUAUGAUUCUCACUUAGGGUGCGAGAGGUCCUUGAUUCAAAUCCGGGACGAGCCCA
rnacentral:tRNA from 1 species